rnacentral:rRNA from 1 species
UAAACGACUCUCGGCAACGGAUAUCUCGGCUCUCGCAUCGAUGAAGAACGCAGCGAAAUGCGAUACUUGGUGUGAAUUGCAGGAUCCCGCGAACCAUCGAGUCUUUGAACGCAAGUUGCGCCCGAAGCCUUUCGGCCGAGGGCACGUCUGCCUGGGUGUCACCC